ensembl:lincRNA Gm26635 predicted gene, 26635
AAGGAAGUGAAGCAUCUGUGCAUAAGCAACACACACGCACAUGCGCGCGCACACACACACACACACACACACACACACACACGCGCGCGCGCGCGCGCGCGCGCACGCACACACAGAUGCGUGUGCACACGAGAGCAAGAGUACCGAUGGCUCUGGCACCGAAUCUAGCCUCCCCUCCACCCUCUGAAACUUCAGACCUUCCAGUUCCACAUCUCAAAAAGGUAUAUGGGGGAGGGUGUGGUUCUCAAUAAAAAUAAGUACCUCUAACAAGGGACAUUCCUUGGAAAUUAUGGAAAAGCAUAUUCUCCUGAGGAAGCCCAGGCAGGCAGGGCUCAGAAUCAGGGAAGCCUUUGGGCAAGAAGGGCUUCUGGGCCUUGGAGAGGCAGGUUCAACCAUGCCCAAGCACCAGGACUAGGGAAAAUGAUAGGGAGGGGCAGCUGCCCCGGUUACAUUCAGUCUGCAGACCCAGGCUCAACCCCAAAGAGGCAGGAGGAAAAUAUUGUUCAUUUUGGUUUUAAAAAAGAAUUUUUAAAAACUGUAAAAAAGAAAUAGGAACAGCUCAGUAGGAAUAACAGCAAUAUAGGCCCAGAGGGCUCUUUAGUUGCAGAGAGGUAGGCAAUGGGUCACCCUGACUGUUCCAGUGCCAGCUAGCAGUUGCCACCCCAGCUCACAGAGAAAGGAACUGCCACCCAGCACCAGCACCCCAACACCAGAGUCACACUGCACUGCAAAGACACAAGCACACAUGCACACACACAGCCGAGGUCCCUGCCAGCUAGGCCUGCUCCAGGCACCACUUUUGGCCACAGGAAACCCUGUGGCCCAGCCCAACCUGCAGGAAAGGAACCAACCAGGCCCCACUGGCACCCACAUGAUGGACUCCCACCGGCUCUUCAGCAGCUCCUUCAGGGAGCUGGAAAGCCCAGUGGGCCCAGGGAGGUAGAAUAGUCACCAGCACCACAUGCAUAGGGCUAGACUGGUCAGCUUCUCUCUUGGCUUCCCUUGGUAUACUGUUGAUUAAAGCUCUGGGCGUGAGGAGGCUGGGCCAGAGGGGCUGCCAGGAGCCUCAUGUCAGACUUUGGGGCUCAACCCUCCCACCAUGCUUCCGUGGGUUCCCAAGUGGCAAGUCUGUAGAGGGCUCCCACGGGUCUUUGGCUUCUAGGAAGGGGAAGUGUGCAUGCGCAGGUGGCUGAUGAGGUUGCGCUGUUGGGUGAACUUGCCUCCACAGAGCUGGCACUCAUAGGGCUUCUCACCUGAGUGCACACGCAUGUGCUCUGUGAGGCGGUACUGGCGAGUGAAACGCAUACCACACUCAUCACAGGCAAAGGGCUUCAGGCCCAGGUGGCUCCGCAUGUGGCGUGUCAUAGUGCCUCGCUGUGUGAACAUCUUUCCACAAAUGUUGCAGGGGAACGGACGGGUCAACCAGUGUGUCUUCUCGUGUUGCCGCAGUGUGGCUGGGUCCUUGUAGGUCUUCUCACAAACUGAGCACUUGAAAGGACGAGAGUCAGCUGUGUAGGCUGCACUAGGUGUUGACAGGUCCUCAGCCUCCUCCUCGGCACCCCCACUGCCGGUCUCAUAAGCCCCUUCUUCCUUGAUGAAUAACUCCUCCUCCGUGUGUGUCUCCACGUGAGCAUUGAGCUGCUCAGAGCUGGGGAAGCCCUUGGCACAGGGGAUGCACACAUAAACAUUGUCCCCAUAUGACACUGUCUCAUAGCCUUCCUGCCGGUAUACAUAGUGGGCGCCAGUAUGGCCGCUGCCCCCCUCACUCCCACUCUGCCCACUGUCCUCACUCCCAUCUUUGCCAUUCUCCUCCUCCUCCUUGCAGGGGAAUGACUGCUCCCCAUACGAUGCACUGGGGCCACCUCCACCAGCACUGCUAGCCAGAACGCCAUUGGGAACCCUGUCCCCAGUCCCUUCACCUUCUUCCCCUGGGCAGGAACCCUUAGAUCCUGUUUCUCUCCUAUCAAAGGGGGACCCAGCCACAGGUUCCUUUUUGUUCCAAUCUUUUUUGCGGGCUGAAUGCCGGAGGCUCUUGCGAGGCUGCCCACCCUGUCCUUCCAGCAGACUCAGGUGGUUUUCCUCAGCCCCUUCCACAUCCAUGGGCUCCUCAGGAGUGGCCCCCAGCUCAACAAAUGAGGCACUAUUGCCGACAGGCAGGGCAGAGGUCGAUGUGGGUGCGGGUGACUCUCGCUGGCUGUCACUCAGCUGGGCUGGGUCCUCGGGUGUGAGGUGGGGGCCAGGGGUUGUAGGAGGUAAGGGUGGGCUCUUCUUGGACAGGUCCAAGCCCAGCUCCUGCUCACAGCCCCCACUACUCCCAUUGGUGCUGGUGCUGCAGCCCCCCAAGCCCAUCUCCCCACCAGCUGGACCCCCCAAGCCCAGGCCGUGUGUGCUCUCCUGAGUGGAGGUGCCCAGAAAAAGCUCAUCAUCUGAGCCUUUGGCCUGAGGGAGCUCCUGGGGAGCAGGGUGUCCUUUACGCACAUCUACAAGCCCUGGAAAUCGAGCCUGGAUGACAGAGGCUGUGGACAGCCGCUGACUGCGGGUUGGUCGCCCUAUGCCAGCAGUACCCACUCGUCCAGGGCCAAAGGGCUUGCCAGCUCGCUUCAGUUUGCGGCGACAGAGGGCUGCCAACUCAGGCAGCUGGAGGUAGCUGGCAGCAGUGAGUAGAGUGCUGAAGUUUGGCUCAGAUGGCUGGUCACUGGGCAGGAGCUUGCCUGUGUAGAUGAAGUCCAGGAUCUGCUGGAACACAGUGGAGCUGACCAUGUCUGUGUCUAAGUUGAUGAGGUUAUCAUGCAGGACCAGGGACUUGAAGUAGAUGCUGCUAGCAGCCAGGACAUUCUUGUGGGCCCGGAAGAUAGAGUUCUCCACCAUGAUGAUGACGUCACACAGGAAGCCCUUGGCCCUCUGCUGGUUCAGCUGUAGCAGGAGCUGUUUUGAAUGGCUGGGAAGCUCCAUGUCUGGCCCCAUGUCCCUGUGCCCUGCCCACGGGCACCACCUGUGGGCAAGAACAGGCAGUAUACUGCAAAGCUGUAUGAGAGACCCAGGAAGCCCCAAGGACUGGAAACCAGUGGUGAUUCUUCCUCUCCCAGGCCUACCGGAGUGCCAGGGGCCCAGAAACCAUGUGAGCAGCAGCCGGCGGGGGGUGGCCUCCUCGAGUGCACAGACUUCCUGAGGGUGCAUCAAAGCCUGGUUACCUGGAGAA